rnacentral:rRNA from 1 species
UGAGUACGAGCGGCUACGGCCGCGAAGUGGAUGAUGUCAAGCUUCCAAGAAAAGCCCUAUACCCGUUAAGGCAUGAUGGCCUGUACCCGAAACCGACACAGGUGGGGUGGUAGAGAAUACUGAGGGGCGCGAGGUAACUCUCUCUAAGGAACUCGGCAAAAUGGCCCCGUAACUUCGGGAGAAGGGGUGCCACCGCGAGGUGGUCGCAGUGAAGAGGCCCAGGCGACUGUUUACCAAAAACACAGGUCUCCGCUAAGUCGCAAGACGAUGUAUGGGGGCUGACGCCUGCCCAGUGCCGGAAGGUUAAGGAAGCUGGUCAGCGCAAGCGAAGCUGGCGACUGAAGCCCCGGUGAACGGCGGCCGUAACAAUAACGGUCCUAAGGUAGCGAAAUUCCUUGUCGGGUAAGUUCCGACCCGCACGAAAGGCGUAACGAUCUGGGCGCUGUCUCGGAGAGAGGCUCGGCGAAAUAGAAUUGUCUGUGAAGAUGCGGACUACGUGCACCCGGACAGAAAGACCCUAUGAAGCUUUACUGUGGCUUGGUAUUGUGCUCGGGCUCGGAAUGCGCAGGAUAGGUGGGAGGCUUUGAUCCAUUGCUUGCGGGUGAUGGUGAGCCACUGGUGAGAUACCACUCUUUCCGAGCUAGAGUUCUAACAGCAACCCGUUAUCCGGGUGCUGGACAGUAUCAGGUGGGCAGUUUGACUGGGGCGGUCGCCUCCUAAAAGGUAACGGAGGCGCGCAAAGGUCUGCUCAGGCUGGUUGGAAAUCAGCCGACGAGUGUAAAAGCAGAAGCAGGCUUGACUGUGAGACCUACAAGUCGAACAGGGAGGAAACUCGGCUUUAGUGAUCCGACGGUUCUGCGUGGAAGGGCCGUCGCUCAACGGAUAAAAGUUACUCUAGGAUAACAGGCUGAUCUCCCCCAAGAGUUCACAUCGACGGGGAGGUUUGGCACCUCGAUGUCGGCUCAUCGCAACCUGGGGCUGAAGUCGGUCCCAAGGGUUGGGCUGUUCGCCCAUUAAAGCGGUACGCGAGCUGGGUUCAGAACGUCGUGAGACAGUUCGGUCCAUAUCCGGUGCACGCGCAGGAAUAUUGAGAGGAUUUCUCCCUAGUACGAGAGGACCGGGAGGAACGCACCUCUGGUGUGCCAGUUAUCGUGCCAACGGUAAACGCUGGGUAGCCAUGUGCGGAGUGGAUAACCGCUGAAAGCAUCUAAGUGGGAAGCCCACCUCAAGAUGAGUAUUCCCAUGGCAUAAGCCAGUAAGGUCACGGGAAGAACACCCGUUGAUAGGCUCUACGUGGAAGCGCAGUAAUGUGUGAAGCGGAGGAGUACUAAUAGACCGAGGGCUUGACC